GACAGCAGGACGGUGGCCAUGGAAGUCGGAAGCCGCUAAGGAGUGUGUAACAACUCACCUGCCGAAGCAACUAGCCCUGAAAAUGGAUGGCGCUAAAGCUCCGUGCCUAUACCCGGCCGCCGGUAGGCAUAGGCGUGAGCCGCUCUUCUGGGGCGGCGAGCGCGCGAAGCCCCGGCGAGUAGGAGGGCGCGGCGGUGUGCGCGGAAGGGUCUGGGCGCGAGCCUGCCUGGAGCCGCCGCCGGUGCAGAUCUUGGUGGUAGUAGCAAAUACUCAAGCGAGGGCCUUGAGGGCUGAUGUGGAGAAGGGUUUCGUGUGAACAGCCGUUGCACACGAGUCAGUCGAUCCUAAGCCCUAGGAGAAAUCCGAUGUCGAUGCGGGGGGCGGUUUUUACACGUGCUCCCCCUCGAUGGGCGAAAGGGAAUCCGGUUCCUAUUCCGGAACCCGGCAGCGGAACCGAAUCUACGGGCCCUCGUCAGAGAAGC
rnacentral:rRNA from 1 species